rnacentral:RNase_P_RNA from 1 species
AGAGAAGGUCGGAUGACCGCCGAGCACAUAAUUUAUGUGCUCGGAGGAAAGUCCGGGCACCGCAGAGCAGGAUGGUCGGUAACACCGACCCGUCGCGAGGCGGGGAAAGUGCCACAGAAAAUAUACCGCCGAGCACUUAAUAUUGUAUAAUUAAGUGCUCAGGUAAGGGUGAAAUGGUGGUGUAAGAGACCACCGGUUGCCUGGUGACAGGUAACGCAUGGUAAACCCCAUCCGGUGCAAGGCCAAAUAGGCGAGCGUUCGAGGGCUGCUCGUCCGAAGCUCACGGGUAGGCUGCUAGAGACGACCGGCAACGGUCGCCCCAGAGAAAUGGUCAUCCCCGACAGAACCCGGCUUACAGACCUUCUCUUCUG